rnacentral:rRNA from 1 species
GACGUAGGGCGCGAGCGUUGUCCGGAUUUAUUGGGCGUAAAGAGCUCGUAGGCGGCUUGUUGCGUCGACCGUGAAAGCCCGGGGCUCAACUUCUGGCUUGCGGUCGAUACGGGCGGGCUAGAGUUCGGUAGGGGAGACUGGAAUUCCUGGUGUAGCGGUGAAAUGCGCAGAUAUCAGGAGGAACACCGGUGGCGAAGGCGGGUCUCUGGGCCGAGAUUGACGCUGAGGAGCGAAAGCGUGGGGAGCGAACAGG